AAGGGAAUGGCUGCACUAUAGACAACUCAGUGCUGGCUGGCAGUGAGGAAGAGCUGCUGGCUAGCUACUGGGUCUGAACCUAGAAGACCCCUGAGGUUCAGAGGCAGCCUCUACCCGUUCUUCUCCUAGUUGUUGCUGUGUCACCAAUUCCCCAUUGUCUUCCUGCCCAGAUUUUUCUUUCCUUACAGCCAAUGGGAAAGCUAUAAACAAGGGAAUAUUGCAGCAGGACCCCUGUGGAGAGUUGGCUGGAUGUGACCUAGUGAGCAUCGUAUGAGUGCAAGGCAGCAAAAACCCCACCAACAUCCCCAGCAGCUGUAGACAAUAGACUACCCCGAACAUGAGAAGUAGGGCAUGGUUCUCAGAGGCUGCUGGUGCUGGGUCCUAUGUCAGACCCCGCUCACACCACUGCUGGAAGCAAAAACUGUGCUGAAGGGCUACAGACGGUAUUAGCAGAGUGGCAGGAGCUGUACUAAAGACAGCAUCAGAUCAGUGUCUGGCCAAGUCACCCCUUGGAAAAGAACAUACUGACUUUGGGGAAGCUUGGUGAUCUGAUGGGAAAAUGGGACAAUAAGUGUGGGGGGUGGGAGGGGUGAUGAUGAUUAAAUACUACUGCAGUCCUGUCUAAAAGAAUUGCUCCGUUCUCUGGCUUCCGUGCCACUCUCUUUCCCCUGCCCCCCCGUCUCCCCCCAAAUAAAUCCUGUGGUGGUCGAAGUCACCCUGGCCCACCAGGCAGUCACUGGUGAUGCUGGGAAUUUUUCCACACAAAAAACUCUGCGGAAAACUGUUUUUGUUCUUUCUGUUUGAUACAUUUUUAACUGGACACUCUGACAAAAAGGCAACUUUUUCAAACAAGCAAUGUUCUGUGUGAAAUGUCUUGAUGGGGAAAUGUGAGUGAGCUUUGAAAUGCUGCAAGCUGAGGAGCUUGCAGUAGCUAUGGCUGUGUUUUAACAGGGGAUGGCUUUAAUUAUGUCAAUGAUUAAUAAGAUCAGUACAGUAUCCCUUGUGCUGUUGCAUUUUACUGUUUUUAUGCUGUUUCUCAAUUUUUUAAUUGUGAUUGUCCAGCACAGUUGAGUACUAAAAAUGCAAAUGAAAAUUGGGGAAUUUUCUCACUUGUUCCCACUUGUAAGAUAAAAACACUGGCUGUUAAAAUGCUCAGCAAUGAAAUAGUUAAUGUAGACAUUCUCAAUUUGGUGCAGAAUUAAAACUUCUGUUAAGAUGCA